UAGGGAAUCUUCGGCAAUGGGGGCAACCCUGACCGAGCAACGCCGCGUGAGUGAAGAAGGUUUUCGGAUCGUAAAGCUUUGUUGUAAGAGAAGAACGUGUGUGAGAGUGGAAAGUUCACACAGUGACGGUAACUUACCAGAAAGGGACGGCUAACUACGUGCUAGCAGCCGCGGUAAUACGUAGGUCCCGAGCGUUGUCCGGAGUUAUUGGGCGUAAAGCGAGCGCAGGCGGUUUAAUAAGUCUGAAGUUAAAGGCAGUGGCUUAACCAUUGUUAGCUUUGGGAACUGUUAAACUUGGGUGCAGAAGGGGAGGGUGGAGUUCCAUGUGUAGCGGUGAAAUGCGUGAAUAUAUGGAGGAACACCGGUGGCGGAAGCGGCUCUCUGGUCUGUAACUGACGCUGAAGCUCGAAAGCGUGGGGAGCAAACAGG
rnacentral:rRNA from 1 species